ensembl:misc_RNA Y_RNA Y RNA
GGUUGGUCCAAAGGUAGUGAGUUAUCUCAACUGAUUGUUCAUGUCAGUUACAGUUCAAACUCCUUGUUCCGCUCUUUCCUCUCUUCUCACUACUGCCCUUGACUAGUCCCAA